UGCUUUUUGUCUUACUAUUAAAAGUAGUACCUGCCCUAUGAUUAUUUAAAUGGCCGCAGUAUUUUGACUGUGCGAAGGUAGCAUAAUCAAUUGUCUUUUAAUUGGAGUCUGGAAUGAAUGGUUUAAUGUAAUAACUGCUGUUUUAGGCAAAAUUUUUGAAUUUUUAAGUUAGGUGAAGAUACUUAAAUAUCUGUAAAAGACGAGAAGACCCCGUCAAGUUUAAUAUUUAACUUAAUUUUACGUUAUUUUUAAUUAGUUAAUGUAUUUUGUUGGGGCAAUAAUAAAAUAAGGAAAACUUUUAUUUAUGAAUUAUAUUAAUUUUUAAAUUGAUUUUAUGAUCCAGUUUUCUGAUUAUAAGAAUAAAUUACUGCGGGGAUAACAGCGUAAUCUUUUUAUAGAGUUCUUAUCGAUGAAAAGGAUUGCGACCUCGAUGUUGGAUUAAGAUACCUUUUUGGCGCAGUCGUCUUAGGGGGUAGUCUG
rnacentral:rRNA from 1 species